GACGAACGCUGGCGGCGUGCCUAAUACAUGCAAGUAGAACGCUGAAGGAGGAGCUUGCUCUUCUGGAUGAGUUGCGAACGGGUGAGUAACGCGUAGGUAACCUGCCUGGUAGCGGGGGAUAACUAUUGGAAACGAUGGCUAAUACCGCAUAACAGUAGAUAUCGCAUGAUAGCUGCUUGAAAGGUGCAAUUGCACCACUACCAGAUGGACCUGCGUUGUAUUAGCUAGUUGGUGAGGUAACGGCUCACCAAGGCAACGAUACAUAGCCGACCUGAGAGAGUGAUCGGCCACACUGGGGCUGAGACACGGCCCAGACUCCUACGGGAGGCAGCAGUAGGGAAUCUUCGGCAAUGGACGGAAGUCUGACCGAGCAACGCCGCGUGAGUGAAGAAGGUUUUCGGAUCGUAAAGCUCUGUUGUAAGAGAAGAACGAGUGUGAGAGUGGAAAGUUCACACUGUGACGGUAUCUUACCAGAAAGGGACGGCUAACUACGUGC
rnacentral:rRNA from 1 species